UGUCUUGGUGGAGGUUCGAUAAUCCAAU
rnacentral:piRNA from 1 species